rnacentral:rRNA from 1 species
AUUGAACGCUAGCGGGAUGCCUUACACAUGCAAGUCGAACGGAGUGGCGAACGGGUGAGUGAUGUAUCUGAACGUGCCCAGUAGCGGGGGAUAACUACGCGAAAGCGUAGCUAAUACCGCAUCCUCUCGCCGCGGCCGAUAGGGGAUUAGCUAGUUGGUGGGGUAACGGCUAACCCAGGCGACGAUCCCUAGCUGGUUUGAGAGGACGACCAGCCACACUGGGACUGAGACACGGCCCAGACUCCUACGGGAGGCAGCAGUGGGGAAUAUUGGACAAUGGGGGAAAGCCUGAUCCAGCCAUCCCGCGUGUGCGAUGAAGGCCUUCGGGUUGUAAAGCACUUUUGGCAGGGAAGCGGUACCUGCAGAAUAAGCACCGGCUAACUACGUGCCAGCCGCCGCGGUAAUUC